rnacentral:rRNA from 1 species
AUGGGACCUGCCGACGACAGUCUAGAUGACACCGGCAGGAUCGGUUGCCUGAGCAGCUACAUGGAGAGCACACUAAAGGCGAUGAGGAAUGGAGCCAAUGUGAGAGGCUAUUUCGCCUGGGCAUUCAUGGAUUUGUUCGAGCUCUUGUCCGGGUUCCAGUCGAGGUACGGGCUGUACCGGGUGGACUUCACCGACGAGAGGCUGCCGCGGCAAGCUAGGCUGUCGGCUCACUGGUACUCCGGCUUCCUCAAGCACAACGGAACCUCUGCGCUGGUGUCGAGAAUGCCAGUGAACCAGGCGCUGAACUCGGUGUCCUAA